rnacentral:rRNA from 1 species
AUACGGAGGGAGCUAGCGUUGUUCGGAAAUACUGGGCGUAAAGCGCACGUAGGCGGCGCCGUAAGUCAGGGGUGAAAUCCCGGGGCUCAACCCCGGAACUGCCCUUGAAACUGCAGUGCUAGAAUCUUGGAGAGGCGAGUGGAAUUCCGAGUGUAGAGGUGAAAUUCGUAGAUAUUCGGAAGAACACCAGUGGCGAAGGCGACUCGCUGGACAAGUAUUGACGCUGAGGUGCGAAAGCGUGGGGAGCAAACAGGA